GACAGAGGGUGCAACCGUUGUUCGGAAUUACUGGGCGUAAAGCGUGUGUAGGCGGUCUCAUAAGUCGGGUGUGAAAGCCCCGGGCUCAACCCGGGAAGUGCACUCGAAACUGCGAGGCUAGAGUACUGGAGAGGUUGGUGGAAUUCUCGGUGUAGAGGUGAAAUUCGUAGAUAUCGAGAGGAACACCGGUGGCGAAGGCGGCCAACUGGACAGAUACUGACGCUGAGACACGAAAGCGUGGGGAGCAAACAGG
rnacentral:rRNA from 1 species